rnacentral:rRNA from 1 species
ACGGAAGGCAGCAGUAGGGAAUAUCGCACAAUGGGGGGAACCCUGAUGCAGCAACGCCACGUGUGGGAAGAAGCAUUUCGGUGUGUAAACCACUGUCGUGAGGGAAUAAUGCUUGAUUUCGGUCAAGUUGAAUGUACCUCGAAAGGAAGCACCGGCAAACUUCGUGCCAGCAGCCGCGGUAAUACGAGGGGUGCAAGCGUUGUUCGGAAUCACUGGGCGUAAAGGGAGCGUAGGCGGAGACGCAAGCAGUCUGUACAAUACCGGGGCCCAACCCCGGACCUGCAGACUGGACUGUGUCUCUUGGAUAGUUCAGGGGCAGGCGGAAUUCCUGGUGUAGCGGUGGAAUGCGUAGAGAUCAGGAAGAACACCGAUGGCGAAGGCAGCUUACCAGCAUACAACUGACGCUGAGGCACGAAAGUGCGGGGAUCAAACAGGAUUAGAUACCCUGGUA